AGCCACCAGGAAGGACAGACUGGUAUUCUCCAUUGCAGGCUGGUGCCGCUGUCCACGGCUGGUGGGUCUUCCUUGGGGACAUCACCCAGUUAUGGCCUUUCAUUACACCUACAAAAUCCCUUCCCAGCAGCACCUGGAUUAGGGUUUGGCUGAGUGGGGAACUGGAGCCACGUUGACCACAGGUGGCUCCUCCAUAGAAUGGAGCUAGUAGGCUUUUGGGAAGCUUGCUAUGUGCUGUAUGGGAGGUUUUCAUUCUGGCCUCAUACUAGGGAUCAGGACAGAGUGGUAACUGCCACAGCCCUCGCAGAAUGCUCUCCGGACGCCAGGCACCUUCUCAACACUUCCAAUCCUAACCAUGCCCCAUCUGGCACAUGAAGAUCAGAAGGUACCUGUCAAAGACGGGAGUCAGUCAAGUUACCUAAUCCUAAGCUCUUCCAGAAACCAGCAGGGUCCAGAAGUCAAUAUUUUAUGGCAGGUGCUCUGCUAGGCUUUACAUGGAGAACAGGUGGGACAGGAGGGACUUCAAGGUGAGGAGAGUGGAGUAGAGGGACGUGUUCACCUACCCCUGUCAUUUGGCAGACAGGUUGCAGGCCCCUGUCCCCUCGCCACAGCCCUCGAUACCCUUCCCCUAUACAGCAGACAUCGUUAGCCUCGUGUGAUCGCCGAGGACACGGAGAGUGGGUAAGGCAAGGAGUCACUCCUAGGUCUGUGUGGCUUGGAGGACCAUCCCCUGUCGGCUACUCACAACCUUGGAAGAAGUACAAGUUUGGCUUUGGGUUCUUGCACUCAAGCUCCGAGGCUGGGUUCUGGGACAACUUCCUUCUGGAAAUGCGAGCUGGCCGUUCCCCAGGCACACCAUCUCUACCAUUCCUGCGAUAUUCUCACAUGGCGUGGGAGAGACCCGGAUCAACCAGGUUGUCGGGUGGGCAGAGCUCGGAUGAAUUAUCAGGAACUAUGAAGGUCCACACUUAGAUGGAGGACACCUUCCAGCUUCUUUUCUGCUAGGCCCCUUGCCCGAGUAAACCCCCGCUUCCACAAUGUUGCUCGAGGAUUCCAAAACCAGAAGGCAUGUUCCGCCUGGACAGACACGGAACUUUCUUCUGCUUUGACAGGGGAGACCCAGCUACUCCUUGUGGAGGCCCCUGGAUGCCUCAGCCUGGAGGAUGGUGGAAAUGGCAGAUGCAGCUGGUGACACAGGCCCCUAGGCACUGUGGGAAGAGGUGGUGGCUUCUCGGCUGGCCCAUCCAAAUCCAUGACAACCCUAGCUCUGUGCCAGGGACACAUGCUCAUUCACCAAACUUCAAAGAAGUCAGGUCCGAGCCUGACCCCGACACCUGUCUGGCCACCAGAUGACGAGGCUAGAAACUCAGGAUUUUUUUUUUUUUUUAAACCACUCAACAUAAAAGCCUUGGGUUUUUAUUAUUUUUGUUCUCCUCUCAAUACAUUCCUGGAAACACAGGAAAGCAAAGGCUGGAUGCAUGCUGUUGUUCUGAGGCAACACCCGUCAGUCACAUAGGAGUGCAGGCUUGGUGGCGGCGGUGGUGGGGUGCUCCGGGGCGGCUCAGUCAUCAAGAGUCAGAUGCUCAGCUUUCUGGCCACAAGCUUUAUGUGGGGCUCUGUGCUCAGCAGGCAAUCUGCUUGAGAUUCUUCUCCUCGCUCCCUUUCAAAUAAGUCAAUUUUUAAAACUUUAGGGAAGUGCAAGCUUGGGAGACAGACCUGGACUCCAAUCCUGGACCCCCUUUGUGGUCUUGUACCUGGAAGAUGGGGGUAGGGGGGCUUACUCCUAUGAUAACCUCACUAGGAAGAGCCUGACCCUGUGCCUGGCCGAUGGGGGAACAUUUGGCUUUAUCUUCAGCUGCAGGGAUUGGUCCGCUGCUCCCCAGAACAGCAAGCCCAGGCUGGCCAAUGUGGGGAAUGAACCAGGAUGCAUGUGAAGACUUAAUACCAGUCUACCUAAUUGAGUUUCCUGGACUCUAGAUCAGUGGUUCCCAUGGGAGCUAAAUUGGCCUCAGUUGAGAUAUUUGACCAUUUUUAGUUGGCACAGCUCCCAGAGUGGGAGUUGGCAGGAAGUUGUUAACUGGCAUCUAGUGGGGAGCGAUCAGAGAUGCUAAGCACCCUAUAAUGCACAGCACAGGCUCCUCUACCGCCCCCACCUCCUCCACAUACUGUUCUAGAAUGUCAAUACCAAAUUGUGACACCAGGCUCUGGAAGAUACCUGAUUGACAGGUGUAAUCACAGCUAUUAUUUAUCGAGCAUCUACUAUAUAGGAGACACUUUACAUACAGCAUCUCCACUUGGACAAGCCCCCAAGUCUGGAAUUAACUGCCUGCACUCUGGGAGGAGGAAACCCAGCAGAGUGGCCAUCAAGCUCCUUAUGGCUCCCUUUGUCGUCAAGGGCACAGAUGCAGAGGGAAGUCGGGCUGAUGCCAAAGCCCGCGCGUUUGAUGCCUACACUGCUGGGCACACGAGCCACACAGACCUGCUCACAAAGCUGUGGUGUGGGCUGUGUUAGGAAUCUGGUAGUAAGGAGCUGCUGGAGAGAAGAACAGGCAACUUGGUGCCUAACACAAUGAGUGGAGGGAGGGGAAUGCCCUUGGGACAGGAAGAGUCUCAUUUAAAUCUUUGCAUGCGGGGAAUAUAAAAAAAGAUAGUGAAACGGAUUAUAGGGGCAAGGAGAGAAAAUGAGUGGGAAA